CACGUGAUUCGCCGGAGACUGGUGUGCCGGACCCCGGCCACCGUGUCGGCUCCCGGCUGUCGCGAUACCGGACGUCCCCUGAAGAGCUGCCAUGUCUGGGAAUUCUGCCCCUUCCUCAGAACAGAACAACAACAACUAUGAAACCAAAACAAAUCUCCGAAUGUCAGAGAAGAAAUGUUCGUGGGCAUCCUACAUGACCAACUCCCCGACCCUCAUUGUUAUGAUUGGCUUACCAGCCCGGGGCAAAACCUACGUGUCCAAGAAACUCACACGCUACCUUAACUGGAUUGGGGUGCCCACCAAAGUGUUUAAUCUUGGGGUGUAUCGGCGUCAAGCGGUCAAGUCCUAUAAGUCCUAUGACUUCUUCCGGCAUGACAACGAGGAGGCCAUGAAGAUACGCAAACAGUGUGCUCUGGUGGCGCUGGAGGAUGUGAAGGCGUAUCUCACGGAGGACAGUGGGCAGAUUGCGGUGUUUGAUGCUACCAAUACCACUCGAGAGAGGAGAGCCUUGAUUUUGAACUUUGCUGAGGAGAAUUCCUUCAAGGUGUUCUUUGUGGAAUCCGUCUGCGAUGAUCCUGAUGUCAUUGCUGCCAACAUCCUGGAGGUAAAGGUGUCGAGCCCUGACUACCCUGAAAGGAACAGGGAGAAUGUGAUGGAGGACUUCCUAAAGAGAAUUGAGUGCUACAAAGUCACCUAUCAACCCCUUGACCCAGACAACUAUGACAAGGAUCUUUCUUUCAUCAAGGUGAUAAACGUCGGCCAGCGAUUUCUAGUGAACAAAGUCCAGGACUACAUCCAGAGCAAGAUCGUCUACUACCUCAUGAAUAUCCAUGUCCAUCCUCGCACCAUUUACCUUUGCCGGCACGGAGAGAGCGAGUUCAAUCUCUUGGGAAAGAUUGGGGGUGACUCAGGCCUCUCGGUGCGGGGAAAACAGUUUGCCCAGGCUCUAAGGAAGUUUCUGGAGGAACAGGAGAUAGCAGACCUCAAAGUGUGGACAAGUCAGCUGAAGAGGACUAUCCAGACCGCUGAAUCUCUGGGGGUGACCUAUGAGCAGUGGAAGAUUCUGAAUGAGAUUGAUGCUGGCGUGUGCGAGGAGAUGACUUAUGCGGAGAUUAAGGAGCAGUACCCAGACGAGUUUGCGCUUCGAGAUGAAGAGAAAUAUCUGUAUCGAUAUCCUGGAGGGGAGUCGUACCAGGACCUGGUGCAGCGGCUGGAGCCUGUCAUCAUGGAGCUGGAGCGUCAGGGCAAUGUCCUCGUCAUCUCCCACCAGGCUGUCAUGCGCUGCCUCCUGGCCUACUUCUUGGACAAGGGUGCAGAUGAGCUACCGUACCUGAGGUGCCCUCUCCAUACCAUCUUCAAACUUACUCCUGUGGCCUACGGUUGCAAAGUGGAAGCAAUUAAACUCAACGUGGAGGCUGUGAACACUCACCGUGACAAGCCAACUAACAACUUCCCCAAGAACCAAACCCCUGUAAGGAUGAGAAGGAACAGCUUUACACCUCUGUCCAGUUCGAAUACAGUAAGGCGUCCAAGAAAUUACAGUGUUGGGAGCCGGCCCCCCAAGCCCCUCAGCCCUCUCCGUGCCCUGGACAUGCAAGAAGGGGCCGACCAGCCGAAGACCCAAGUCAGCAUUCCGGUGGUGUAACCGUGUGUCUCCCUCCCGUCCUGGCCUCCUGCCCUUGUCACUAAUCACCAAGGAGUCAUUUAACUUCCAACUUCCGCCUCCCCCUACCCGCCCCAAGCCCCACACCAUGGAUCUUAGCAGAGAAUGUGAGGUCAUGUGUUUCCAGACCAACCUUAGCUAGUGUACGGUGUGAGACAUCGCCCCGCCCAGGGGCAAGCUGGCGAGUUGGGUGUUUUAGGACAGGUCCUCAGUUGGGGGGGGUCUGGGGGAGGAGGAAAAGGGGUCCACUCUCCCGAGGUGAUUGGCAGAGCUGGGGCUGAGGCUGAGCAUGCUGUGGUUCUUGUGCAUCCACAGUGUCUAAACUCACUAAUGUCCUUAUGUUGGUAAAGUGGGGGCAGGGUGGAGGGGGACACAGAAGCCCAUUUCCCUUCCACCUUUGUCUCUUCCAGGUGUGCUUUACUCACAGUCCUGACCUAACUGCUUUCUUCCCCCCUCUCAUGUCCCCUUUGGAUUGCCCAGUGUGAUGCAUGGCAUGGUUGUGUGUCUGUCUAGGAGGGAAGGGGCAGUGGGUGGGAGAGAAGUCUGGCCUCCAUUGAUGUUCUCUGCAGUGAACCUAGAUGGAUCUGGACGGGGGGAGCCUUUCUUUUCCCUUCUCCCUUCCUCUCAAGCCAGGUCCUACAAGGGUCAGCCCAGGCUACAGAACAUCCACAGAUGCUCUGGAGCCUGCAGGUAGACAUAGGAUGAGAGUUCUUGCCUCCUUUCAUGAGAAACAGUCCUAAAGUCUUCAGUACCCUGGGGGAAGCUGGCUUCCAGUCUGUGUGAAAUAUUUUGGUUUGUAUUUUUCAGACAUAGGUCUCUGGGCUGCAGAGGUGUGAGGUCUCUGGGCUGCAGAGGGAUAAGGUUUAGGAGAGUAGGCUGGCCUCUAGCUCUUACAGGGCUCUUGGAGGAGUGUCAUACAUUUUUUCCAGUGGCUCCUGGCUUCUUUGCCAACUACUGGAACUUUCCUGCCAAAGCCAGUGACCUCCGGGACUGUUCAGAAGGACAGAGUUAGAUUCAGGAGUCACCACUGAGGUUUGAAUUGCUCAAGGGAAAGGCAGAGAAGAGUUCACUAGAGCUGCUAGUGAACCAGUAAUUUUCAACACAUUCUAGUAAUUCUCAACACAUUCUAGUAAUUCUCAACACCUUCUCCUUUUUAAGUCAAAAAAUUUUUUGCGUGAGCAAUUUUUUUCCCCAGAUAAUUGGGAAAGCCUGGUGAUAAAUUAAAUCUCCCUCACUAGGGUAUUAAUUUAUAUCAUCUUGAUGUCCAGAGUAGUCUUAGAAUCCUGUGGGGUCUAGCUCUUGACUGUUUACACAUUUACUUGUGUCAUUUUAUUUUUUCUGCAAGGUUAAAUAGGAAAUGUUUAGAGUAGGGAUUCUUAGCCCCUUGGUGGCCCAAUAUAGCAUACCUCCCCCAAUUUUGUAUACAAAGUAUAUGAACAUACGUAUGUGCAUUUUUCUGAGAGGCAAGUCUAGACCCAUCAUGAGAUUUUUAAAAGAGAGAGAGGACUCCUCACCUUAAAGUUAUCAAUCUGUCUCUUAGAAGUGACCAGUGAGAGCGACUUAGCUAUUUGCCAGUGAUGUUUUUGUUUGGUAAUAGGAGACCUUUUGUUGUGCUUCUCAUCUAGGAGUCUUCAUUAGAAUCCCCUAUAGAACUUUUGAAAUACGCACUUGCCUGUGUCCACUCUAGGCUUAAUUCUGAGUCAGUCUCUGGGAUUAGGGUCUGGGCAUGCAUGUGUUUAAAUAGCUUCUCUGAUGAUUCUGAAUCAUACUCCAGGUUAGAACUCAAUUUUAUGUUGUUGGGUGGAGAAACAGUAGUUCCUUGGACCAAGCGUCAACCUGGGAAUUCUGAAUUCUUCAUGGUUUUGAAAGGACAGUUCCCUGGAGUUAGAUGUAUGAGCAGAUCACAGUAUUGAAUGAAGUUACCCCCUCUUUGUUACUUCAGGCAGCAACCUGUUCCGGCUUUAACACAUUGCAGGGUGAUGUGGAACAAAUCACUAUGUCAUAUAAAUGUCCUAUGAUAAUAGCUGAGAAUUUUAAGCACCCUGGAGAGAGGCACUGAGAUAAAACUUGUGGGAUGAUAAAGGUUAUCAUCACAGGCAGCUGGCUUGUGACCUUGAGUCCUUUUAUUCCUACAUCCUGAGUAGGACGUCACAGCCAAUUUCAAAGGCCACGUGCCUAGAUUCUGCUCUAAAUUGCCUUCCAGACAUAAGGUAGCUUCCUAUUCCUGUUUAGCCAUUAUAUAAUGUGUACCUAGUGUCCAUGUUUGUGGGGCUUUGGGUUGGGUGGAAUGGUGGUGGGAGAAGGAGACACCGAAGUAGCAGGAAGGUCCUUGCCCUGAAAAAAGGUAUUUUAGAGAAAGAGCAUAUAAUUUAUAAUAAAUGAACAUUUGUGAAAGAGCAGCACGUUGAGUCUGUAAAAUGUGGAUGUCGAAGUUGAGUAGAGAUUCCUUCAGACUUUUCUCUUGUCCUACAUGUAUGAGACUAAAAGGGUUGGGGGCUGGGAAUGUGCCCCCGAGUGAUGUGGUGUAGGAGGUGUGUGUGGCCCUUUUACAAGGUUGUCUUGUCUAGCUUUGCUUGGCUGGUGGCAUCUUUAGCCCAAAUGGGCAUUCAGUCUUUUCUCUUGCUGUGAGGUGAGGAUGAUUCAGAACUAAUGCAUGAGAAAGGAGCAUUUUGAUCCAAGAUUUGGCUUUGGGCUGUAUGUACUCCUAGCGAGAAGAGACUUCUCUAACAAAAUAGCAUCGUAUGACCUUGUUAUAAGCCCCUGCAUUAGACACAAGGCACUGGGAUGUUCAUUUGGGCUCUCAGCCUGCUGGUAUAUUGCCAUUCUCCCCAUGUGUCAGUUUGCUUCCCCAAGAAGAGGAGUGAGGUGGUCUUACUAUUCUCAGAUUGGACAUGAGAAAUUAGACCUUGACAACAGCAAGGAUUUCAGCAUUGUUUGGUUUUUAGAGCAAGAUCCCUCCAGAGAAGUUUCAGCAGAAAGAAGCCAGGAGAGCUUAGAAUAGAGGAGAGCUCUUAUUCUACAUUUUAGAGAAGUCCUGUCCCCUAUCUUUUCUUUCCUGUCCUCCUUUCCCCUUCUUAUUUGAGUGUGUGUCGGUAGUAUAUACACGUUACUCUGAUUACAUGUUUAUUACAAAUGCUAGUAAGAAAGGAUGAACUCCAGAGUACCUUUUGCUGAGGCUUUCAGCUGUGUUAUGGGAGA